ACUUUCCUGAUAAUUAUCGUUUUGCUUCGUGAUAAAGACAGAUCUCACGUUCAUCAGCAGCACCUCACAUUUAAUUGCUUUACUAUCUAAAAACCUAGUGACCACCUAUUAAGAGUAUAACUGAAUUCUCAGCAAGGCAUACAAGAGUCCCAGCUCCUAACGAUAUUCAACAGGUGAAUAUAACUUCUCUUUUCAUAAAACGACCAAUUACUUUAUUUUCAAUUUGCAUGUUUACCUAACUUCUUCCAGAAGCAGGAUAUUAUGUAUCCUCUUAGCGUAUGUUUUAUAAUGAUCCUGUUACAUCAGAUUUUCUGUUGAUGAGUGCCACGAAAGUGAGAUCGUUGAUGAGGAUUGAUCUUACAUUUGUGUGUUUUUGAUACUUGCCACAGCAUUUAUUUUCUAGAACAUUUCUACAGUCUGUACUUGCCAGUGUCUGAUCACAUGCAGACAGUGGGUACUUCCAGGGCGUGCUGAGGCAUUCUUACUGAUACAAACUGAUGCCUUCUGUUUGAUACAAGGAGUCCCUAUGCUGGUUCAGUUCUUUCAGUUAUGCAUCAUCUCUCUCUUCUGCUUCCUUUUUAUGUUCUUGAGGUUGUUUAUUUAUUUGGCUGUUUAUUUGUCCGUUACUUCAUCCUCAUCCAGAUUUCUUACAAACUUCAUCCAUUCAGGUCUACUACGCAGCUAGCUUUCCUUUAUCACCAAACCAGAUCAUUUAUUCUAUCUUUCCAAAAUCAUGGGUGUUAGUUUCAGUGCUUUUUAAAAUUUCACCUCAUAUAUUUAAAAAAAAAGUGUAUUGUGGAAUGUUUAGAAUGUUACACAUACCUGUCUCUAAAUAAAAGAACAUAUAUAGCACACUAAUUAUGAAACAUAGCUAUCAAAUGAAUAGUCAUGAAUUCACCAUCUGGUUUAAGAAUUGUAGUAUCUACCUGUUUAUUCCUUCCUGAUCUCAAGCUCUAUACCUCCCCCUCACUUCAAAUAUCCUUUGAACCUUUUAAAAAAAUUUUUUCUUUUGGUUUUUUGGUAUUUGGGGGUUUUUUUGGUAAGAAUUUUAUUACAAACAUUCAUAGAGUAUGUAUUGUUAGUUUUAUUUAGUUUUUAGCUUUACAGAAAUGUAUUAUAUUUGGAAUGACUAAUUUAUCAUCCAAGUUGAGACACUUCUGUGCAUGCAAAGGGCUUCUGUUAACAAUUACAGUAGGACAGCAGCAUAAACCAGAAGGUCCUGGGCAGAUCAGGUAAUGUGGUCACCCCACUCAUAGUGUAUGCUACAGUGUGCUUUUGUAAACUAAACGUUAUGUUUCUAAGAUUCAUCUGUGAUUUGUUCAGUGCAUUUUGAUUAAGGCAUUUUGAUGUUACCUUUCUUUCAAAAAUAUUUGUCCUCAUAGUGGUUAUAAUAAAACCUGGACUUAUUUGCUGCUUUUGACUUUUUAAAGCUAUGAAUUCUCUAUAGUCCAGAAUUUUAAAGACAGUUUUUGAUGUUGAGAUGGUUUGUAAGGUGUCACCUACCUAAAUGUUGGAAAGUUAUAUGUAAAACUGCAUUACUCAAAGAGCUCACUCUUUCAUUCUAAAUCGAGUCAAAAGGGCUUUGUGUAAAAACCUAAAUGAAAACUUUCUUGAGGUAUAAAGAUAUGAUCAUUUAAAAUUUUAAAUUCCUGACAUGAGUAGUUAACUAUCUGAAGAUUGUCAUACAUGUCUGCAUUUCAAAUGGGGAUUUCUAAACUUAUAUUUUCAUGGUUUGGAUUUUGAUGCGAUAAAGAACAUAAAAGUGAACAUAAGAGCUCACUUUGGGCAUGUGAUCCUGGGUAUGGUAUCAUAUAUUAAAUUAUAUAGUAUUUUACAGAGAAGGUAGCUCAGCAAAUUUAACUGGCCUCAGAGUCUGUGGUUUAGUUGGUUUGCACAGAGUAAAAGCUGGUAAGUGGGCUAGACACUGUCACAAAGGAUGCCCAUCCUUUUUUAUUUUUUAAUUUAGUUUAAUUUUUAUUAUACUUUAAGUUCUGGGGUACAUGUGCAAAACGUGCAGAUUUGUUACAUAGGUAUACACGUGCUAUGGUGGUUUGCUGCAUCCAUCCCCCUGUCAUCUGCAUUAGUAUUUCUCCUAAUUCUAUCCCUCCCCUACCCCUCCCACUCCCUGCUAUCCCUCCCCUAGCUCUUCACCACCCCCAACAGGCCCCGGUGUGUGAUAUUCCCUUCCCUAUGUCCAUGUGUUCUCAUUGUUCAACACCCACUUAUGAGUGAGAACAUGUGGUGUUUGGUUUUCUGUUUUUGUGUCAGUUUGCUGAGAAUGAUGGUUUCCAGCUUCAUCCAUGUCCCUGCACAGGACAUGAACUCAUCCUUUUUUAUGGCUGCAUAGUAUUCCAUGGUAUAUAUAUGCCAUAUUUCCUUUAUUCAGUCUAUCAUUGAUGAAGGAUGGUCAUUCUUCACAGUAACUGCAGAUGCCUGCGGGCAGAGAGGACAAGGACCUUACUACCAUUUCUCCCUGCUAACUCCUUUUUUAAUAGAAAACUUUCCACUUUCUUGGAUAUGUCAUUUAAAGUGUUUAGUUUGUUUUUUAAACUUGUGUCAGAAACGCUAACCGCCAUAUUGCUUCACUGUUCUUUUACAAGUCAGCCCCUCGGUAGCCAACAUCUAUAUGGUGCUUGGUAAAGCUUGUCGAUGAAAUUUAGUACCGGGAAGAAAUUAGGCAGCAAAAGCUCCGCCUGUUUUUGGUAGCAUAUUCUUCAAGUAAAUUCUUAACUGUCUUUGAUAAGUGUGAAGCUACGUGGGAUCAGAUUAUAUAAAUAUGACAAAUGAACAUUUCUUAGUGUAUUCUCCAUGGAGUCGCCUCUUAAAAAAUCUGAUAAGCAAUUUGGGCAUUCACCUUUCUCCCAAGUGGAAUUACAAACAUUUGAACUGGGUGGACUUUCAUAAUUUUCUGAUACUAGCCACAUAGCCUUGAAGAAGCUUCUAAGCCUUUCCGUGCCUCAGUUUCUGCAUCUGUAUGGAUGAUAACCCCACCUCAUAGGGGAAAUGCGAAGAUUAAAUGUGUCACUGCACAUGAGAUAGAUACAUGGCGAGCACUCAGUGCUUGCUGAUUCUUAAAAUUGUUAGGUUCUCCAUUAUGGGUCUUAUUCAAACUGAGACCUGGGUGCCUGUCUGUGACAAUUACUGUCCAGAGCGGUACAGCUGAUUUAGGCAGCAGGUCUUCUGGUUCUUAAGCCAGUGGUGUUUUUACACAAUUCAGAAGACAUGUAUGUUCCCAGUGGUGACCUGCUGUGUUUGCGGAGGUAGUUCAGUAGGACUGCUAGAGCUAGCCACGAAAGCAUAAUGCAUUUUCACAAAGUUGAACUCAGUUCUUUCUUCUAGGGAAAAAAAAAAAGGUCCAUGCUGCUCUUCUUGGGGGUUGGGCCUGGGAAGGUUAAGAUGAAGACCAGAAAAUAAGAGAGAAAUGACUGUACCCCAGAGAUUAACGGAAUUCUUACUGGUGUCUCCACACAUGAAAAUUUGAGCUGGACACUUCAACGCGCUUCACUCAGAUCCUAGGCAAACUGGUUUAUGCUAGAUAGCCUGCCUGCUACGCAGAGAAGUUAACAAUGGGCGCAGUAUAAACUCCUGGAUGAUUUUCCCUCUUUUUGCCUAAAUGGAGGCCAACUGUGAGCAGCUCUUUUUGCUCAGUGGCCCCCGCCAGGGCUCCUGUACACACUUCAACAGGUUGCUCAUUGCACAGGAUCUGAAUGGGGUUGACCUGCCCUCUGUGGGAAGGGGCACCAUUUUCUCAUUCAUGCAGAGGAGCCAGGUUACUCUCAGCAACCUUGUCCUAGACCUUGGGGGAAUAGUCCGUGGCUUGAGUCCAGGUAUUACCCAUUUCUCUUCUGUCUGUUCCCACAGCUAAGCCUAGGGGCACUCACAUAUCAGUUUUUUUUGAUAACUGUUCAUCAAACAUUUUAUAUGCAGCUGUUUUAAUGGAAUUUGCUCAAAACUCAUCACAGGUUUUUGUUGGAGAAAAAAACGAUCAUCUUCUAUUUCCAUUUCUUUCCACCUAGGCACCCUGUCCUGUUUAAUUUUUUAAAUCAUUUCCCUGAGAUUCAUAUCCUUAUUCUCUGAGAAAUAUUAAAUAUAUUGAGUUAUCUGACUUGGAUUAUAUUAUGUAUUUCUGUGAACUUGGUCAUAGGUAAUAAAACCACAUUUUGGAGUCGAUCAUAGUGUUGGUCUUUGCUUUUUGUUUUAUAUUUACUGUUACCUAAAUCCAAAUACACCUUCCUUUAGAGAAUAAUUAGGCCCAUUUCCCUCCUCCUUUUCCCAUAUUUAAAUUGCGUGGAUCUAUACAUUAGAUCCCAGGCUCAUACACAGUCCACCUUCCUUUAGAGAAUAAUUAGGCCCAUUUCCCUCCUCCUUUUCCCAUAUUUAAAUUAUGUGGAUCUAUACAUUAGAUCCCAGACUCAUACACAGUCCACCUUCCUCUGGUUCUGAGUCUGCCAGUGAACUGCGCAUGUCAUGCAGAGAUGGCAUGCUCUCCCAGGCAUGAUACUCAAACUGUUGAGUAUCUGUUAGGAAUUUCCCUUUAUUUUUAUACAUGUAGCCUUUUGUUUUCUUCCUCUCCCCUUCCUUCCUCUCAUUCCCCGCACUGACUUGUGUCUGACCCCUCUUCUCUCCUGUUACCUCCUGCUGUAUCUCGCCACCUCCUCUUCAUGUCUCACAGACUGGCUCUUUCAAUCACUGUCUCUCUAACAAGUCAUUGUAAAAUGUGCAGCUGUUAUGUAGCUGAUAGCUGGGAUGAAGUGAAGCCAAAAUGUUGCAGGGGGUUCUUCCUGAUGUUGCUCUCCUAGGAUUUGUUGAAAAAGAACAAUCAUUUUUCUCCGUCUCUACCCUGCUAAAUGUAAUUGACAGCUAAUGAGAAGUAUCACAGAGGUAGAUACACAAACCCCAGUAAAGCAUCCCAAAUGGCUGAUGGUGUUUCUUGCCUGUUAAAAUGUUCCUCCACCCACUGCAGAUUUGCCCUCCUACCUUGCUGCCUCACAAACAUUGUGAGUGUCAUGGGAACCACUGCUAUGAUACCCUGGUACCACACUGCCCUGCCGCACCCCUGACCCAGCAGGGCUCUACCACAUGCAUUCUUUGGAGAAGCAGGAUGGAGGUUUUUUAUGUUAGGUAGCCACAUGGAUUGUCUCUUUUUGCUUGCACAUUCUUUUUGUUUGCAGUUCCAGCGUCGCAACUCUCUAUAGUUAGAAGGUAAAGAAUUCAGACCUGCUUAUUGAACCUAAACAAGCAUUUAGAGCAGUAACACAGACGCUGUAUAGUUCCCUCCACAGCCAUUAUAAAUUUCCUCGUUUGUUACUUAUUCUCUCUCUCCUUCAUACUGAUGUAUUUAUAUUUAGAGACAGAAAUGAAAUAGCUCCAUCUCUGUAAUAGGCAGUGUGUAUUCAUAUAGUGUAUAUUUAAAUUAAGCAGAUGUAAUGUCAGGUACAGUUAAUUCUGAAAUGUGUGACAUUGGACGUUAUGCUGGUAUUUCAGUAAAUGAUCCCAUCACGUUGCACUUAGGCUGCUUCUUGGGUUACGUCCCAGCGUUUUUCACUUUGCUGUAAGGAGGACUGCCGGGUUUUGGACGUACUGAACAGGUCUUCAGUCUUACACUGGGCCUGAUUGCCCCUAAUGCAUGGUGGAAGCUGACUCAGCACAGCAUCCGAAUGCACUGCUGUUGCCAGAAAAUUCUGCGGAUGUUAAUUUCACUCAUCUUGCCUCCAGAGCCCGCCAUUCCAGUUUACUAACAAAGCAAAAUGUAAAUAAGCCAAACUUUAAAAUUUUUUAUUUUAUUGGCCAAAGGCUUGUGUCAGCUUUUCCUCCGUGUGCUGUGAGCAGCGACAGUGUUUAAAUGUUGAAGAGAGGGAGCACGCCAUCGGGGUGAGGAAUGGACAGGUAGGUGUUAACUGUUCAUAGCCUGGCUGGCACUCUUGUUUAUAAAACUCAGUUCAUCUGUUUUAUUAAUGAAGAUCUAAGGGCAGUAACUGAAAAUUCCUGAAUAGACUUUUCCCCAUUCUUUUUUUUGGCAUUAGGCAUUUGGCAUUUGUGCCAAGUCCAUUGUAAGUAGAGUUAAGUCGCUUUGAUCUGGCAGUAGAAGGCCACUGAUCAUAAGAGAUUAGGAUCAAAAAUACAAAAUUAGGUCUUCAUGCUAGCACAUAAUGAGUAGCUGUUUGUAUCAUGGCUAUUGUUCUUCUUGCCUGGUACUAGGUGAGACUAAUCAAAGGCAACCUCAUCCUAGCUAUCGUAGAAACAAACAAAAUGGAGUUGCAUCAGAUAAGAAAGUAGAGCCCCCUUUAUUUUUCAUUUCAUGCUUUGCUGUUUGGAGCCACUCGCCUGCCACCUGGCUUCUCAGCAGACUGCCCGCUGGCUGGCUGGGCGUGAGGCAUGGGUCAAGGCAGCUUCAGAGCUCAGACUGUGAAGCCAGGAGGCCUGGGUUGGGAGGAAUGUCACUCACCUUCCAGGAGCCGCCUUCCCAGCGCCCGUCUUUUUGUACUGAUACCUCCCCUCGCCUACUCCCUCUCCAGUCCACUGCACUCCCCACUAUCCCCGUGAUCACCUCUGCAUGGGUCCCUCCCGCUGGGGUGGCUGCCUCCAGGAGCCCCACAACAGUGCACAGCAUGUGGUACCCCGCACCCCUCUGCUAAUGUGAGCUCCUACCCAGUGAAUAACUUCAGUCUCUGUCCUUUGAAAAGGAUGACAGGUGUGUCGAGCCCCACGAAGUGGGUUGGCCAGAGCCCAUCCUCCUACUCCACAAAGCUCCAGCUCCUUCAUAGUGAGCCUGAUCUCCGCCUCUUUAUCCCGGCCAUUCCUAGAUGGUGAGAGAUGUAUCCAGCAUACCAACCAGCCGUGAUGAAUCUGUGCACCUCAGGAAAAGCUCAGACACAAAAAGCAUGAGUUCUAGAAAGGGCGCCCCAUGUUCGAUUAAAUAUGGAAAAGAACUCUUUGGAAGCACAGGGUGUAUUUAGAGCUCUUCUGUGUAAGCGCUCACCCAGUCCUACCCCUUCAGCACGUAGAUUUCUCUACAAGCCGAUAUAGCUGCAGAUACAAACAAGAAGAUAUUCUGGUCAAAAAACUAAUUUUCUUACUUAAUUUGACAUUCAAACAAGAAGAAUCUGGAAGGAUGCUAUAAUGGGAAAGAGAAAAAUGAAUCUCAGUGAGGACUUAGUCAUAGGCCAGAGUGAACAGGAAGGAUUCCAGUGAGAGGAAAUGAAAGCUCCUGGUCUAAUUUGUCAAGAUUAGUACCUAUCAGAUGAACGACAGAGGAUGCAAACCAGCGUCUCUUUCGUUUCACCCGUUUUCCCUGGAGUUUUAGCUCUCUUAGGGCUCAAGCCCAUCCUAAGUAAAUAAACUUUCUACUUUUUAAUGUGGCCUUAAUAAAACUCUGGGUAAAAAGCAUGAGUUUAUUUCUCUGUGUAAAUGGCUCUUAGCCAGUGUCCAUUCAUAACGUUAGCAGUAGACCCUCUAAAAUGGCAUUUCGCAUACUGACAGACAUUUUUUAUUUCAAAGUCUGCAUAAUCACCUUACCUAAUAAUCUUAUUUUAAAAUAACUGUCAAAUGUUCUUUUUGGCUUCUCUGGAGGUGGAAAUCCUGCAACAGCUUGUUGCAAGGAAGAUGCAUGCUGCUUAUUGGCAAGCUGAGAAGGAAAAAAAAAAUUAACACAAAAUGCCGUUGAUAUAUCCAUGUUUUUAAUCUGUGGCAGCACAGAAAACCAAUUCAGCAGUUCUACAAAGCAAAGAGAACUUAACGCCAGUCUUUUUUUCUCCCUGACAAAGUAAAAUAUUUGGGUGUUAUGCAAAACUAUUUCCAUUCCCUUCCAAAUGCUGCCUAGCAAUAGUUAAGAAAGCAAAUUGACUAUUUUGUCUUUUUGAGAGGUGGGGUUGCAUCUCCAUAUGGCUUAGUUAUUGAUGGUAUGAUACAGAACCUCCCACUUUAAGAUAAUGGCUUUAAAAUUCAGGCCAAGAUCCUGGUUAUGGACACUCAGCAAGUCCAUGGAUCAUGAGUAUUGUCAGUGCUGUUUGUAAAGACCAGAUUCCUCAUUGCUGUUUGGCCGCCAGGGCCUUGCAUUUGAAGAACCGCCCCAUUGUUCUGAGCUACUCUUUUCCUUCAGACAUCACUCCAGAAAAAAUGCAUAGUACUAGAGUCAAGAUGCCCCUAAAGUUGAUUUCACAGACUUCUGGUAUAUCACCGUGUUUCCAAAUCAGGUAUUCUGAUAGAUGGGGAAUGAGUAUCCUUUUUUCAGCAGCAAAAAUCUUUUCAAUCUUUCAUUCCAACAAACUACAAAUUAAUUAAGCCUUUCCCCCUUUUUUCUCCCACAUUCAGCAAUACUGGCCAGGCAUGGUGGCUCACGCCUGUAGUCCCAGCACUUUGGAAGUCCGAGGCAGGCAGAUCACGAGGUCAUGAGAUCAAGACCAGCCUGGCCUACAUGGUGGAACCCCAUCUCUACUAAAAAUACAAAAAAAUUAGCUGGGUGUGGUGACAUGCACCUGUAGUCCCAGCUACCCAGGAGGCUGAGGCAGGAGAAUUGCUUGAACCCAGGAGACGGAGGUUGCAGUGAGCCGAGAUCAUGCCACUGCACUUCAGCCUGGCGCCUGGCGAUGAAGCAAAACUCUGUCUCAAAAAAAAAAAACUAGAAAUUUCUCCAAAUACACACUUAGUUUUGCUCCCUCUCUUAAUUAAAAAAAAGUUGGGUAAUUCAGUUUAAAUUCUCCGAUUCAUAUCUAUUCCUUUUCUCUAUUCUUCUGUAUAUGAAAAUACAAGAAAGCCUGUGUCACCAAGGCAAUAUUAUGUGCCUUUCUCUUGCUCAGCAAUCUCAGCCAUGACUCAUGUGUUUUCAUGGUUGGUCUGAUGGUCCACUCCCACUUCUCCAUGACUUUUUUGCAUUGUUCACUGGAGAAGCACUUCAGACACCUUGUUCUCUGUUUUCACUCCUGAGCGGAGUAGGCUGUCCCUGCUCUGAACCUGUGCUCAGCUGAGUGUCACUGUGUCUGGACUCUGCUUGUGCUGCCUCUGCAGAAAUGCUGUUGGCAUUGACCUGCUGCCUUCGGCCUUCACUGAGGAGGAGGAUGCAGAAUGGAGGGGUACCAAAGCUUUUAUGAACUAAUUUUAGCCUAGAAGUAAAAAGUUUCAAAAAUCACUUGAGUACAUUUUGGGAAAUGGUGGUAAAACGCAUAGUAUUUUGGAGUCAAGAUGCCCCUAAAGUUGAUUUCACAAACUUCUGGUAUAUCACCAUGUUUCCUAAAAGAGAAUAAGUAGCAAUUGUAGAAGGAACAAAACCAUUUUAUAGAGAGUGUUAGGCUUCUUUCCAAUCUCCUGAUAACCCUGGAGCCAGGAUUAUUAUGAUGUGUUGAUUGAUUAUAGCCGUUAAGGCUCUUACCAGUCAGUUUCUUCGCUUAUUCUCAAUUCACACACUUGCACCUUUGAUUUCUCUUCCAUAACAGGGUGAUAUGGGUUGUCACUGACUAAUGAAGAACAGAAUUGGUUUCGGCAUCAGACAAACGGAAUGCCCUCACCAAUCCUGAAAUGCAUUAAUCUUUCAUAAUCCACAUCUGCAUGUUUAUAAAUGAUAUAACCAGGAAUCGUUAAUGUUGAUAUUCUCCCUUCCAAACAGAAAGUGACAUAGGAGUUUGUACUUGCAAACUGCACUAAAUGCGUAAAACUGAAUGCCAAGAGCGUGACCUUGCUGAGGAUGCCAAAUAUAUUACUUCAUUUGAUGGUUUUAGGAAAGUAGCGUGUUGCACUUUGGCUGCUGGAUGCACCCUGUGGACACUAACUAGCUCAGUUGUUCAUUUCCCUUCCUUUCUUAUUUUAUUAUCCUCUUCUGUCAUGAAGAGGCACUGAGUGUAUGUUAUGCUGCAGGCAUAGUAAGUGGGGUAAACGCACCGAACAUAAACUGCAAAAGGUCCUGUCCUCAUGAAACUUAAAUUCUAGUGGGAAAGACAGGAAAUACAUAAAUAACUGCAUACUUGAUUGUCAGGUAGUCGGGGAAAAAUCGAGUGACUUCUUUAGAUAGCAGUGGCUAGUUAGGGAAGAUGUCUCUCUUAGAAGUUGAUACUUCAACAAGAGAAGUGAAGGAAAAGCAGGGGCAAGCCAUGUGAGCAUCUGGGAAAGAACAUCCAGUCAGGGAAAGGAGCAAACUCAAAGGCCCUGAGUUAGUCUUGUGCUAAUGUGCCGGGCGGGGAACACCAGGAAGUCAGUGUAGCCGAAGCAUGGUGGUCAUGGGCGGUGGAGCAGAAAGGGUGGGCACUUAGAUUAGAGAGGAGCUAACGGCUUUGUAGGUUAUGAUUGUAAUUGAGGAGUUUAAGUGUGAUGUGAACCUUCUGGAAGGCUGGGAAGGCAGGGACAUGAUCCUGUUGAGGGUUUAGGAGGCUCACAGUGGCUGCUAAGUGGACAGGAUGCUGCAGGGGAAGGGGGAAGCAGGGACACCAGAGGCUCCUGCAGUAGCGGCAGGGAGGUUUGAUUGCCACUUGGUUGUACACAUGGCAGGGGUAGCAGCAGAAGGUGUUUGGCCGAAGGAAUUGCUAAAAUGGUGGUUCUGAAUAGAGGACAGAGGAACACGCUUUUGAUGGGGAAUCAAGAGUUUGGGUUAAACAUACUGUAUUUGAGAUUCCCACUGGGCAUCCUAAGGGAGAUUUUGAAUGGACUCAGGUAGGAUUUUGGUGGGAAAAAUAAGUUUGUGAGGCAUUAGGGUUCAGGACGAGGUCCCCUGGGCACCCAGCCUGCCUCAGGGUCACUUGGGGGGCUUGUGAUUCAGUAGUUGUGGGGUGGAGCCCGGAAACUUGCAUUUCCAAUAAUUUCUAGCUCUGCUGAAGCUACUGGUCUGGGAAGUCCUGACCUAGAGAGUGAGUGAAGGUCAGCGGACAGCAGCACAUGCCACACAGCACACCUGGGAAAGCCCGAUGCCAGCCCAGCCCCAGAGAUGCUGACCUCAUUGGUCUGACGCACGGUAUUUCGUCAGUACUUUUUUAAAGCUCUCCAGGUGGUGAUUAUGUGCAGCCAAGGCUGAGGAUCACUGCGAGAAGAAUUCUUUUUUUUUUUGAGACGGAGUUUCGCUCUUGUUACCCAGGCUGGAGUGCAAUGGCGCGAUCUCGGCUCACCGCAACCUCCGCCUCCUGAGUUCAGGCAAUUCUCCUGCCUCAGCCUCCCGAGUAGCUGGGAUUACAGGCACGCGCCACCACGCCCAGCUAAUGUUUUGUAUUUUUAGUAGAGACGGGGUUUCACCAUGUUGACCAGGAUGGUCUCGAUUUCUUGACCUCGUGAUUCACCUGCCUCGGCCUCCCAAAGUGCUGGGAUUACAGGCGUGAGCCACCGCGCCCGGCUGUGAGAAGAAUUCUGAGACAACCUCGGGGUACCCCAAAAUGUAGAGACUGUAAAAGAGAAAUGGAAGAAGAAAUGUUUUCUAGAAUAUGGAAGAGAGCACCUGUGUCCAAGGCAGCUUCGCACUUGCUCAGCGUUCCAGAAGGAGCUUGGUUUCCAGUUAUGGGCACAUCUAUUUCUCACAGAAACGUUUAAGGAUAAAUAACUCAUUUUUUAAGGCGGCAUAGUGCCGGGUGUUUUGUUUUUCUUUUCUUUUUUUUUUUUUUCCUGACCUUUCUAGAACUAGAUUUGGUUCAGUCGAAAGUAAUAUUACAGAAAAAAUUAUUGUGCAAAAUUACUGUUGUAUUCUCAUGUCCAAUUCAGCUACCAGUGGACUCCCUCCGUUCCCAGUUGUUCCUUUAAGUUCAUUUCGCGUGAAGUCUAAGGAUCAUGUCAUUUAAAUUCUAUUUGAGAAAAGGCAAAAAACAUAUCCUAUUUUAAAAGAACCAAACCCCAGUGUAUAUAUAUUUUUGCUGCUUGUUUGUUUUUAAUUUGGCCUUGUUGCUUUUUCUUAGAAGCAGCUGGAAGAACUAGUUCAGAAUUCCCUGUUUCUAUACCACUAACCAGAUCUUUGCCCCUAGAGCUGCAUAAAAGAAUAAUGUUAUCUAUCCUUUCUGCCUGGAAUGUCCAUCCCACCCUUUAUGCAGCCCAGCAAACUCCUACUUAUGCAUCAAGACCCCACUAAACAGCCUUUCCCUUCAGGAAGUCCUUGCUGAACCCUGCAGCCCUGGAGUUCAGCUCUCCCUCGGGCUGCCCCAGCUGCCUGAGCCCUUGGCGGGGCUCUCUUCUUUUUGUCCCCAGUGCCAAGAACAUUGCCUGACAAGUAGCGCUGUUCAGUACACGUGGGCCAAAUUAAAGAGCUCACAGUUCUCUUAGAAAAACGGAAAUUCAAGAGAAAAGAGUUUGGAAAUUGGUGACUUACGUAUCCUUUCUCCUGUGGGCUCGGAGCCGUGUUUCCGCCUUUGCAUUUCACCCUCUAUGGGAUCAUCCUUUUUUCCUCCGUCCUGAAAGCGACUUCAUUGCGGCAGAUGCCUUUCACAAGUGCGCUUGCCAAAUAUUGAGUCCAAUCUGAAGGAGCGAUGAAGAAUACUUGAGGUCGUGCUCGAGAACCUUCCUCUCCACAUUGCUGCAAUCAGAGGUUCUGUGGCCUGAGCCCUCCUGUCCCCUGGCAGAGCUUUGCCAUGCCCGGGCUGGCACUGCUUCUGUCAGUUUACUCCUGAGCUGCAGGUCCCUGAGGGUGUCCGCUGCCUCCUGCCUGGGCCCUGUAGUUUUAGCCUCGUGCUGGAGAGAUCUGCUCUCCCCAACCCCCAGCAACCUCCCAAGCCCAGCACUGUUAAAAAGGAGUUUGGUUAUUGAUUAAUCCGGGUUUCAUUGUGCAACUAACUCUUCUUCUCUUGAAAAAGCACUUAUUUACCCAAAUGUAUUAAUAUGUCAUGCUGUGAAUUGUCAUAUCGAAGCAAGUUAAGCAGGUGCUGAUUUCUGUUAAAUAUACGUUACGAAGUGCUGAUUUAUACCCCUUAGAUCCUGGAGAUUUCACUCAGAAGCCUUGGGUUGUUUUUGGGUUUUGUUUUAAGUUUUUCAGAAUGGUGCUUUUAGCUGUCUGCUUCUUUACUUUUAAUGUAGUUUUAUACCAAGGAUCUUAAGUUUUAUCAUGAAAACAAGCUGUCAUUACUUAGUGUAAUCACAAAUGCAAUGAAUUUUUAAACUCUUUAAAAAAAGUGCAUUAUUUUAGUACAUAAAUGGACACUUAAUUCUAUAUCUAAAUGGAAAAUUUACAGAAACCAUGCCACCUAUAUAUAGUACCAGUGUUUUAUCUGUUGGUCUCAGUGUUAUACAUUCUGUGUUAUUCUCCUCAGAUUCCAAUAUUCAGUUCCCAAACUCUGUAUUUUUCCCUCUGCCUUCUCACAUCCAGAAGCAGCGUAAAGAUGCCUGUUGACUGGCCACGUGUGCCACUACCUUUUGGUCUGGAAAACACGGUCCCUCAUACCUGCAGGGCAUAGCAAGUGCUCACAUGACAUAUUCUCUUUUAGAUGCAAAACGACUCCAAGGGGGUGAGCAUCCGCGUGUGGCACUUUUCGUAGCCAGCCACCCAUGUUUACAGGCAGAGUUGUCACGAAGUGUUGCAACCCAGAAUGAGGAAUUGGUGACAAGAGAGGAUGGAGGCGAGUGAAACUUUUAUUAAAGGCAAGUGCCUUGGCUUGAAAAAGGCCUGUCUCUAUCCGGCAGCAUAGAGCAGCCAUCAAGUGGAAGAAAGGGAGCAGGCAGGCGCCUCGGCUAAUCUUUCUCCUGGGGUCCCAGGUGGACAAAUUGGCAACCCCGUUCACAGCUUUUUUUCUUCACCCCUUUGUAUCAUAAGAACUGCUAAUCGGAUCCAUGCUGCUGCAACUGUGGUUAGUUAUUAGCAGAAUAAAAGCAGAUUUCUUCAAAAGAACGGGUGGGGGAAACGACUAUACAAAAUUGCAAGGUUGUUAGAAUCUUAAAUGCACAGCAGUCGAUUUUUCCCCUUACUCUGAAUUAGACGAUGAAUACAAGUCUUUCAUCUGUCACUAUACCCAUUUCUUCAGAAGGCAGCCAAAUAUUAAGCUUCUCAAACAAAAAAGGAAUCUUAGAAAGAGGAAAAAUAUUGAAGAGGAAUAAGAAUGGGUAAGAGAAGGGAAAAAUUGGGUUUUGUUUUUAUUAAUUUGCCCUGGUGAGAAAAAUAGAAACCGCCCGCUCUACCCGGUGUUGCCCCCUGCCUCUUACCUUACAUCAAAGCGCGGAUUAGAGAGAAUAGAGCUGGUGGCUGUUGCAUUUUAUGACUGGUGUUCUGCCUGAGGAAAGUUCAGAACCUACCUCUUUGCUUACAGAUAGCAGAGCGCUAUGGAUCUGGAUUUCCUGGGGAAGGCCAGGCUGGCUCUGCCAUACCCAGUGUGCACAGUAGACCUUUCCCUCCACAAGUGGGUUUUCCCAUGCCUGAUAGACCUGGGAGUUGUAUGCCUGAGCUUUAAAGCUAUUGCAGGGGGUGUUCGGAUGAGAAUGGCAGAUUUUCAGCGUGGUAGUUUAUAUACUUAAGCACACCAUGGACUUUCACAGCGGGUGCCUCCCGGAUCCUCAGGAUUCCCAAAGUGAAGCGCUUCCUGCUUUCAGCCAAGUCACAUCUUUGGUCAUCUUGCCUGUUUACUAUUUCUGUCUUCACACCUGAAGUUAACUGAAGUUGAGAAGCUUUCCUUAAAGUUCCCUCUUUUAUGUAAUGGCUGUUUUAUCCACGAAGAGGUAGUUUUUAUCUACCUCCCCAGAGUUGGUCCUUAGUGGCAUGGCAAGCACAGUGGGACCCAGGCUUAUGAGCUUAUGUCAGCUGCCACUCUGUGAGUCACACCUAAGUCAAAUCCAAGGCACACGAUAUUCCCACACCUUCCAGGUCACUUAGCAGUCAUCCAGACUUUUAUGGUCCGUUUUAAUAAGGAGAAUCCAGUAUAUGUAAAUCUUUUAUGACUCCAGUUUAUUUUUAUUUAUUUUUUUGUUUUGGAGAUGAAGUCUCGCUCCGUCACCCUACCUGGAGUGCAGCAGUGUGAUCUCAGCUCACUGCAACCUCCACCUCCUGGGUUUGAGUCUCCUGCCUCAGCCUCCCAAGUAGCAGGUUAACAGUUGCCCACCACCACGUUGUCACCAAGUGUUGGAACCCAGAAUGAGGAAUUUGUAGAGAUGGGGUUUCACCUUGUUGCCAGGCUGGUCUCAAACUCCUGACCUCAAGUGAUCUGCCUGCCUCAGCCUCCUAAAGUGCUAGGAUUACAGGCAUGAGCCAUUGUGCUGGGCCACCUCCAGUUUGUCUUUAAUCAAAGCUGUGGAGACUGAAAUAGUCAAGUCUAGAAGUCCAUGUGUCACUGUGUAUCCUCUGACUUAACUUGUCCUUUGCCUUGCCAGAGGCUUUUCAGUUUCUCUGCCCCAAGUUCUCUGUGGAAAGGAAUCUCCCCCAAAGGGAUCUCGUGGAUAUCAGUGAUCAGACUGUUAAACCAACUUCCAUGUGAAAAAUGUUAUGUAGUUUUAGUACAUUUAACUAAUAAAGGUUUGAAUGUAUUAUAGCAGGCUGAGUGAAUAACGUUCUGUAAGUUGGUCUUUAAGGGUUUUUAUGAGGGCAUAAUUCUUACGGAGACCGCCUCACAUCCACUUCUGUUUUCUACCUGUUAGCUGAUCGUCUUUUGUAGCUCUUCUAUCUUCAAAUCUAGCAGUGAGGUUUAGAGAAAGACUUGGAACCCUCAGACCACAGCAGGAAGAAGAGUUGAAAAGCUUAAUCCUGCAGAUUUUUGACAGUUUAUUAGUUUGUUUAGAAUAAAGGUAUAGGGCCCUGUAAACAGUACGUGGGAACCGUCUUGUUCUUUCAAGUUCAGGAAUUUUAAGUUUCCUCAUUCCCUUAAUGGCUCAGGAGUAUCCAAGCCAGAUAGCCUCUGAAGUGCCCAUUUGUCUGUAUUUUUAGGACCUAAUGUCACAUCAAUAGUUUGUAAUGGUUUGGAUAAGGAUUUAGGAGACUCUAGCCCGAUUUUGAAUGAACUUUUGAGCCAUAUGACAUGAAAAGUUUCUCUCUCAAGGCAGAGGCUCAACUCCUUAAAGGUGAGAACACUAGUCACUGUGGUUCUGUGCUCUCACUUGAAAGGUAGGGAAGGACAUUCCUUUCUGGUUUAUACUGCUCUAAUUGGAGAUAGGAUUUAUUCACAACAAAGAAUUGUGUUGACAGCCUGUCACAAAGAUCUUCCCCACCCCCUGCCCUAAUGUAGGACCUUUUGGUAAGGGUGAGAUGACCCUAUUAGAGACAGAGGCACACACCCCCAUGCUGAAAAGUAGGAAGUGUUAUAAGUUCACACUCGGGCACUUGAGAUAAACUGUUAACCCUAAGCACUAAGUGGGAGCCUGAGCCCAUUCUGUGUUUCAGUAGUUUGCCUGGAGCAUAUCGAAGUUGCUGUCAGUCAGCCUGCUUCUUCAUUCCGAGAAUAAGAGGGAUUUUUUCCGUUCUUAAAGCAAGUGAAAUAGAAAAUACUGAACACGAGGAUGCUAUGUCCUAAAUAACUUGUGGGUUUUCUAACUCAUCUAAAUAAUUGCCUAAGACCAGGACAUUUGAUCAAUGUAUGAAUUAUCAGAAAACAUAUUUUUCAUUUACGCCAUUAGGUAUUACACAGGUUUUUAAAGAAAUGACCCAUGAAAUCCUUGUGCUGUAUUGCAGAGCUGUACCAUCUUAUCACACUCCAGUUUCUCUCUUUCUUUUUCUUUUUUUCUUUUUUGAGAUGAUGUUUUGCACUUAUUGCCCAGGCUGGAGUGCAAUGACACGAUCUCGGCUCACUGCAACCUCUGUCUCCCGGGUUCAAGCGAUUCUCCUGCCUCAGCCUCCCAAAUAGCUGGGACUACAGGCAUGGGCCACCACGCCCAGCUAAUUUUGUAUUUUCAGUAGAGAUGGGGUUUCUCCAUGUUGGUUAGGCUGGUCUCGAACUCCUGACCUCAGGUGAUCUGCCUGCCAUGGCCUCCCAUAGUGCUGGGAUUACAGGCAUGAGCCACCGUGCCAGGCCCACACUCCAGUUUCUGACUAAGUUAGAUAAGAUGUACAGUGAUUUCCACAGAUAUGGAGUCUACCAUGCAACAACCAAUGCUUUUUUUUUUUAAUUGCAUUUUAGGUUUUGGGGUACAUGUGAAGAACUUGCAAGACUGCCAGUGCUGUCUCUUAACAAAAUUAUAUUGUCAUUUAUCAUGGUGGAAGGAAAGAUCCUGACCAGUUUUUCAUGUUUCAGAAAUUAAAAGAGCAGCUAAAUACAGCCCAUAGUAAGAAGUUAUAGUGUAAUUACUAGCGGGUUUGGCCGAAUGUAAGAAAUAUAUCCUCCAGAAGAUGGGUAAAGUCAGAUGGUGGCAGGUGAAAUCUGUAUGCCACUGUAAAGAUUUGAAAGAGAGCUGAUUUCCAUGAGGAUGGACUAGAAUAAAGCAACCCAGCAUCUAGUUGUGGAUGCAGCAGAAGUGCCUGUCAGGGAAGUACAGAAUGCACAUUACCGAAGUGGUGGUGUGGCAGUGCUUGGGUGCUGCAGUGUGUUCUUUACGUUUCUCACUAAAGUUAAUGACGCCACUAAGAAUUCUUGACCAGAAGAAGAAUAAUUCAAUUGCUAAUUGCUGGAAACUAUGAAAUACAUAUCGAUUUUGUAGCACCAUUCCUGGGAAGUAACUUGAUUAUGAUAGAGUUAUUUCAAAGUGGUUGGCAGCAUUCCUCAUUUCUUCUCAGAAUUCAGCAACAACCACAGCAGUUGAAUUCACAUGAACCUAAGAAUAGUAGGUCUUACCCUCGCAACUGUCAACAGAGUUUAUGAAGAGGACCCAAGCACUUGCCACUAAACACCUCGUGAUCCCCAUGUAUCCUAAGGAUCCUUAUUGAGGACAACUGGCCAACAAAAUUGUCCAGGUUUCCACAAUUAAACAUGUCUUUUCAUGUUAAUUAUAAAAAGCCAAUCUUGAAUUACUAAUGGAAGAAAAUCAUUUAGGACAUUGCGCUCUAUAUAGUGAGAUUUAUUUAUUUAUUUAUUUUACCUCAUUUUGUAUAUUCAAGCUAACCAUCUCCAAUUUACCUGCAAACUUGUAAGACAAAUAAAUGUGUAUUCUGGACAGUGUUCUCUCUUUAGCUCCUCCUUUAUUCGCUUUUGCCAAGAGUCAACUAGCAUAGGGAAAUUAGAAGGAUGGGAUGGAUUUUGGGCACUAAAACUGAAACCAAGUAGCGUCUGUCAUUCAGACUUCAGAUUUGCUAUCUUGACUAAUUAUGUCAAUAUUCCAUCUCAGAUUAACUAAAUCUGUCUUAGGUUAGUUGGCUUUUUAGCUGUCAUGAUGUGAAAGGAAGGAAUAAUUUUUCUCUGGCCACUACGACUUUUGAAAAAUGGAAUUUCUGAGUAUUUCUAAACCUAAUAACACAAUAUUAUUUGAAAAGGGUUGAAUGGUUUGUCAGAGUUGGUUGUGGUUCAGAGUCAGUGUUCUUGUUCUUUUUUUGGGGGGAGGGGGCGGAGUUUCGCUCUUGUUACCCAGGCUGGAGUGCAAUGGCAUGAUCCCGGCUCACCGCAAUUUCUGCCUGCUGGGUUCAGGCAAUUCUCCUGCCUCCGCCUCCUGAGUAGCUGGGAUUACAAGCACGUGCCACCAUGCCCAGCUAAUUUUUGUAUUUUUAGUAGAGACAGGGUUUCACUAUGUUGACCAGGGUGGUCUCAAUCUCUUGACCUCGUGAUCCACCUGCCUCGGCCUCCCAAAGUGCUGGGAUUACAGGCUUGAGCCACCAUGCCUGGCCCGUGUUCUUGUUCUUUUUGAGUUUCUAGAGUUAUAUUCUGUAGUAAUGUAGAAAGGAAUUAUCCCCAGGGAAUUUUAGCCUCAGUAAAGGAUUAAUGUGGGAAUCCUGUUCAUCUCAUGUUUAUUCUCUAUCAUCCCAGCACAGAAGUAGUAGCGUGUAAUUUAUGCAGUUGUAUCUGAUCAGCAGUUGAUCUGAUUUGUUGAUUUGUUUUGGUCUGAUCUGAAAGAGUUGGGAAAAUACUACAAGUAAUAAUUUACCUAAACAUGUACCUGCUAAGUGUACUUACCAUUUAAGUCUCAGAUCUGUGCUGUAUUGAGUACUAAGGAACCCAGUGCAUUCUUAGAUCUAGAUUGCAGAGAACAUAAACCAAGUUCUGUCACUAAUAUCUCUUUAUGAAGGCUUCCUCUUUAAAUACGGAAGAAUGUGAGGUUGAUAUGUCAGUGUUACUGUUAUUAAAUACUGCUUGAUGUUUAUUGGCUCUUUGAGCACGUAUUUCUGAAUGUUUCUUUACUGAUACUGUCAUUUAGAACAGGGAUCACAGACUACCACCAGAGGACCAAAUUCAGACAACCACCUGUUUUUGUAAAUAAAGUUUUAUUUAUGCUAUUUUGUUUUUGUAUUGGCCGUGUGUACUUUUGAACUACAACAGCCGAGGUGAGUAGAAAACAUAUGGCCUGUGAAAACUAAAAUAUAUACUAUCCAGCAGUUUACAGAAAAAGUUUGCCUAAUCCGGAUCUAGAAUAAUAAGAUAAAACUGCAUGAUCACAGAUGAGUUAUAUAAAGAUCUAAUUAUGUAUUAAUCUGAGCUUGGUUCCUGGAAUAAUCAGCCAUACAUUUUUUUUCAACAAAUACUUAUUGAAUGCUUACUAUAUGCCUGAUUCAAGAAAUAUAAUAUAGCAGGGAACCAAAGAGAUGGAAUUUUCUGUCCGUAUGGAAUGUACAUUGUAGUCAGAUGAGACAAACAAUAAGCUAAAUUAAAUUAAGAACUAUGGGGAAUGUAGGCCAGGCACAGUGGCUCACACCUGUAAUCCCAGCACUUUGGGAGGCUGAGGUGGGUGGAUCACAAGGUCAGGAGAUCGAGAUCAUCCUGGCCAACAUGGUGAAACCCCAUCUUUACUAAAAAUACAAAAAAAAUUAGCGAGGUGUGGUGGUGCAGGCCUGAAGUUCCAGCUGCUUGGGAGGCUGAGGCAGGAGAAUUGCUUGAACCCAGGAGGCGGAGAUUGCAGUGAGCCAAGAUUGCACCACUGCUACAACCUGGGCGACAGUGCAAGACUCCGUCUCAAAAAAAAAAAAAAAACCUAUGGGGAGUGUUAAUACUUGUUAAAAACUUAAAACUUGGCAGAGUGCCCCACCAUCUUGUUCUAUGAGAUAUGCUAAGCUCUAUGUCUCAGUCCACUGUACAUUAUACAUUACUGGAUGUGUGCUAAUUUACCAAAAUAUAUGUAUUAACCACUUUUCCCCAAUUCUGUUAUAUACUAAAAUCCCAAAAUUAUGUUACUUAAAUAUUUAGUUUGGUGAUUAUCUUGAUCUGUUCUUAAAAGCUAUUUUUAAUUCGAAAAAAUUCUCCCAGAACCUCUCCCUAGUGUAAGAUUCUAAAAAAAUAUUAGCAAACAGAAUCUAACAGAACAUUAAAAAAUAUACCCAAAGGAUUAUAAAUCAUUCUAUUGUAAAGGCACACGCACACGUGUGUUUAUUGUGGCACUGUUCACAAUAGCAAAGACUUGGAACCAACCCAAAUGCCCAUUAGUGAUAGACUGGAUAAAGAAAAUGUGGCACACGUACACCAUGGAAUACUCUUCAGCCAUAAAAAAGGAUGAGUUCAUGUCCUUUGCAGGGAUAUGGGUGAAACUAGAAACAUCAUUCUCAGCAAACUGACAUAAGAACAGAAAAUCAAACACCACAUGUUCUCUCUCAUAAGUGGGUGUUGAAUAACGAGAGCACACGGACACAUCAUGCACCAGGGCCUGUGGGGUAGGGGGCUAGGGGAGGAAUAGCAGGGGGUGGGGGAUUGGGGAGGGAUAGCAUUAGGAGAAAUACCUAAUGUGGAUGACGGGGCAAUGGAUGCAGCAAACCACCACCAUGGAACAUGUGUACCUAUGUAACAGACCUGCACGAUCUGCACAUGUACCCCAGAACUUAAAGUGUAAUAAAUAAGUCAAAAAAAAAAGAAAAUAGUGACCAUAAGUGGCAUUUAUUCUAGAAAUGCAAAGUUGGUUCAAUGUUAACAACUGUAUUAUUAAUAUAUACCAUAAACAUACAUCUGAUGGGGCGAAAUCUCCUCUUUAACAAAACACCCAGUUACGAUAAAAACACUCAAGGAAGUAGCAAUGGAGAGAUACACUCUCAACGUGGUAAAAUGUAUAUGCUUCAGUUUCAGUUAUGGAAUAGGGAAGCUCUAGAGGCAUUUCCACUAAGAUCACAAAUGAGGCAAGGAUCAUCACUAUCUCCACUACUGUUCAAUAAUGUACUACAGAUUUUAGCCGAUGUAGUUAGGCAAGAUAACUCAAUUAAAGGCAUAAGGAUGAGUAUAGGGGAAAUAAAACUGUCUAUUUACAGAUGAUAUAAUAGUAUGCCUGGAAAACCCCAGAGAAUCAAUGACAGAUUAGCAGUGAAAGAAUUCAUUUAAUGCAGUAUUAAGACAUAAAAUUAACAUACAGAAAGCAGUAGUCUUUCUAUACACAAUAAACAGUUAAAAGACACAUAAUGGUGAAGAGAAUCCCAUUUACAGUAGCAACAAGGAAGAUUACAUGCUUAGGAAGAAAAUGUGCAAACCCUGUAGGUACCUGAAAGAAACUAAAGACUUAAACCCAUGAAAGGCGCCUCUUGUUCUUGGGUAGGAUGAACUCAACAGUCAUGAGUUCUCCUUAAGUUAGGAUUUCAGUCCAAUUACAGUGAAAACAUUAGCCGUUCUAUGUGGUUGGACAAGUUGAUACUAAAGUUUAUAUAGAAAAACAUGCAAGAAAACUUAGAAAACACUGAAAAAGAACAGGUGAGGUGCACUAUUCUUACUGGACAUUAAAACACGGUAUAAAAGUACUAAAAGUAGUGUUUGCUGGUCAGUGGAAUAGAAAAGGAAGUCCAGACAGACCGAAUACAUGUGAAAAUGUAUUAAAUGACAAAGAUGAUAUCUCAAGUCACUGGGCUAAGAAUGGCUUUUUAAAUAAAUUGUGUUGGAAUAAUUAGGGAGCCAUGUGCAAAGAGAUGAAGUUAGAUCCGUCCUGACAUCAAGUAAACUGGAGGGAGAUGAAAAAAACCAUGCAUGUGCUCAAAGAAAAGUAGGGUGAAUUCCUCUUCAACCGUGGUGUAGAGAGAAGAGCUUCCUAGCUGUGACUCAAAAUCCAAAGGCAAUAAAAAUAAAGACUGUUAAAUUUGACUACAUUAAAAAAAAUUCCACACAAAAGACACACAAAAUUCCACUACAAAAGACACUAGCAAAACUAAAAGACAGCUGACAAAUUAGGAGAAGAUAUUCAUAACAUAUACCACGAAGGGCUACACUCUCUAAUAUAUAAAGAACGCUUCAGAAUUUUAGGGCAAACGAUUAAGAACCUAAACAGAAAAAUAGGAGAAAUACUUGAACAAAAAAUUCACAAAAAAAGAUAUUAAAAUAGCCCUCACACACAAAAAUGUAGUCAAACUCAGAAUCAGGGAAGUACAAAUUCAGAAAUUGCAGGCACUACUUCUUAUGUAAGACUAGUAAAAAAUUUUUUUAACAACAACACAUUCUGUUAGAUUAUGGAGAGACAGGCCCUUUAAACAUUGCUUGUAGCCAUAUAAAUUGGUACAAAGUUUCUGGAAGGAAAUUUGGUAAUUCAGGGAAUUUUCCCUGAAGAUAGACCCCAACAGUACAAAAAUAUAUCCACAAAAGAUUGGAAACUGUCUAAAUGCUCAUACACACAGGAGAGUGUUAAGUACACUAUGGAGCACUCACACAAAGGGGUGCUGGGAGCUGUUUUUAAUAUGGGGAAAUGUUGCAAACUGAUAGGAAGUACUUUCCAGGAUAGCAUGAAAAAGCAAAGCCCAAAAGAUAUGUAGGGGGUUGAAGCAGGAACCUGCAUCCAGGAACAGAGCCCUUUGCUCCUCCCUCAGAAUGAAUGGAGGGAGAUGUUUAUGCCCAAGAAAAGCAGGAUUUCGUUCAGCACUUCUCCCACAUUGAUAGGGUGCUGACUGAGGAUGAGACGGGGCACCCAGAGACAGGAGAUGCUAUUGCCCAGCUCAAAGAGGUCCUGGAGCACAACGCCAUUGGAGGCAAGUAUCACCGGGCUUUGACGGUGCUAGUAGCGCUCCGGGAGCUGAUGGAGCCAAGGAAACAGGAUGCUGAUAGUCUCCAGCGGGCCCUGACUAUGGGCUGGUGUGUGGAACUGCUGCAAGCUUUCUUCCUGGUGACAGAUGACAUCAUGGAUUCAUCCCUCACCCGCCGAGGACAGAUCUGCUGGUAUCAGAAGCCAGGCGUGGGUUUGGAUGCCAUCAAUGAUGCUAUCCUUCUGGAAGCAUGUAUAUACCGCCUGCUGAAUCUCUACUGCCAGGAGCAGCCCUUUUACCUGAACCUGAUCGAGCUCUUCCUGCAGAGUUCCUAUCAGACUGAGAUUGGGCAGACCCUGGACCUCAUCACAGCCCCCCAGGGCAAUGUGAAUCUCGGCAGAUUCACUGAAAAGAGGUACAAAUCUAUUGUCAAGUACAAGACAGCUUUCUACUCCUUCUACCUUACUGUAGCUGCAGCCAUGUACAUGGCAAGAAGGAGCAUACCAAUGCCAAGAAGAUCCUGCUGGAGAUGGGAGAGUUCUUUCAGAUUCAGGAUGAUUACCUUGACCUCUUUGGGGAUCCCAGUGUGACUGGCAAAGUUGGCACUGACAUCCAGGACAACAAAUGCAGUUGGCUGGUGGUCCAGUGUCUGUAACGGUCCACUCCGGAACAGCGCCAGAUCCUGAAGGAAAAUUACAGGCAGAAGGAGGCUGAGCAGGUGGCCCAGGUGAAGGCAUUAUAUGAGGAGCUGGAUCUGCUGGCCAUGUUCUCGCAGUAUGAGGAAGACAGUUACAACCACAUUAUGGCUCUGAUUGAACAGUACGCAGCACCCCUGCCCCCAGCCAUCUUUCUGGGGCUUGCGCACAAAAUCUCCGAGAGGAAAAAGUGACAUAGAGACUGCAAGAGUGGGGAGAGGAGGCUCUCAAUAAAUAAAUUAUUGUGUAAGAGAAAAAGAUAUGUAGGGUGUACUACAAACUUAGCAGCUUAAAACAAGGCGCAUUCAUUAUCUCGGUUCCCCUGGCAGAGUGUUCAAGCACCUCUUAGCUGGGUCCUUGCUCAGGACCUGACAAGGCUGCAAUCAAGAUGUCGGGCAGCCUGCAUCCUCAUCUGGUGGCUUGACUGGAGAACCAUCCCAGUUUCAUUCAGAUUGUGGCAGCUUCAUUUCCUUGUGGUUGUUGGAGUGAGGUCCUAAAGAUUCUGGAGGCCUUCCAUGUUCCUGCCUUAGGCUCAGUUUAUACCACAGAAGCCUAAUUCCUAGAAGGUCUGAACCUGGUUUAAAUGUCAGGCCCAUUUGAUUAUUUCAAAGUCAGCUGAUUAGGGAAUUUAAUUAUAUCUUCAAACUCCUUUUACAUUUGCCAUCUGACAUAAUUGCAGGAGUGACAGCCCAUCACUUUCUUCACAUUCUUUGGAUGUAAUCACAGGUUCUGCUCUCAGAAGGAGGGGAUUACUCACUAGUGUUACUCAUUGGCGGUCACUUGUGGGCGUGUCUGCCACAGUGAGUCCAUGUGGAUAGAAAUAGUCUAAUAAAGAAAAGAUAAAAAAGAUACCUCUUCUCACAAUGGAAUUCCAGUAACUAAAUGUGGAAGAAAAAAAGGAAACAGAAUCACCGGUAGCCGAUAACACUGUAAUAAAUGUAAACAAGGUUUUCUAUAGGAUGCUGAAAUUCAUGCAGGUUUGAGGAGGCAUAGGAUUUGCAUAGUCUCAAAUUACCGUCCCAAAAAUACUUACCAACUACAAAGGGAAAACGGAUUGUACUGAAAAGGGUAUGACAUUUUUGUGGUAUACUUCCUCAAAUGCAAAACCUCAUUUUAGUGAUGAAAAAAUAAUAUCAGAGCAAACCAAAUUUAGGCACAUUCUGUAAAAUAACCGAUCGGUACUCUUCAAAGAGGGCAAGGUCACAAAAUAAAAGGAGGGACUGAGGUGCUUACCGACUGGAGGAGGCUAACAGGAAGUCACUAAAUGCAAUGUGGAAUGAUCCCAGAAAAAAGACAUGGCGCAGAAAAAUGGGUACAAUUCAAAUGAGGUCUUUAGGUAAGUUUCUCUUCUAGAUAAUUGCAUUAUGGUUACGUAAGAUGUUAGCAUUGGAGGAAGUGGGCUAAAGGAGGUAAGGGAACUCCCUGCACUAUUUUUGCAAGUUUUCCCUAAGUCUAAAAUUAAUUAAAAAUAGAAGUAUGGGUUUUGUUGUUGUUGUUGUUGUUGUUGUUGUUUUUGAGACGGAGUUUCGCUCUUGUUACCCAGGCUGGAGUGCAAUGGUGCGAUCUCGGCUCACUGUAACCUCCGCCUCCUGGGUUCAGGCGAUUCUCCUGCCUCAGCCUCCUGAGUAGCUGGGAUUACAGGCACGUGCCAUCAUGCCCAGCUAAUUUUUUGUAUCUUUAGUAGAGACAAGGUUUCACCAUGUUGACCAGGAUGGUCUUGAUCUCUUGACCUCGUGAGCCACCGCGCCCGGCCCAAAAGUAUAUUUUUAAAAAAAUUAUAGCAUAGACUCAGGCUGAUAAUUUUCUGUCUGUAAAAGUAGAAAUUCCGGUGACAGUCCUGCGCCAGAAUUUUGCACAUUGUUGUAUAUGUGGUCGUUGGAGAAUACGUAAGUGUACAAUGGUGGAACGUGUUCUGAUUCAUAGUAUACUUGUAUUUUUUCCAUGGUGCUUAUGUCAUAAUAGACAUGGCUGAGGAAAGCACACACUAUUUUAAUGUUAAAGUGCCUUAGUAAGGUUGGUUGGUUCACUGCCUGACAGCAUUCUCUUUAAAAAUUAUUUCUACACUUGGUUUGAAAGGUUUUACUUGUGACUGACACAUGUCAUAUAAAAAUCCUUAGUUCUGAAGGUGUUUGCUGAAUUUGGUUGGUUUGGAGGGCUCGGAAUUUUCUUCUUAUAUGGGCCGUGGUCACAAAUGAGUCUUCUGUAUCACUUUCUCAAACGCAUUUUCUGAAUUGUCAUCUGCUCUGACAAUGCUUAAACUACGCCUGUGGAAGAUCAAGUUGUUUCUUAGUAACUAGAGUUACUAAAUCCUAGUAACUAUGACUUAGUAGUUAUGAAACGAUGGAUAGAAAAAUAGGGAGUAAAGGAAAAUGAAUGAGAUGGUUUGGGUGAAUCUGUAUCAUGAUAAAGCUUUUGUUUCUCUAACAGAAUGAAUUUAAUAUGUGAAUAUUCUCAUUGCCGUAAAGGGACAUCUGUGUUAGAAUUCCACCACACAACCAGCAGUGCUGCUUGGCUGUGGGUAUUGGAUGAAUCAUGGGAUGCAUUUCUUACAGCCUUUUUUAUUUCUACUUCAGAUAUUGUGCAUAAGAGCAGUGCCUCGGGCGUGCACCAUCUGAGCCACGGUGCCCUGUGUUCACAUAGAAUUACUGUUUGUUUUUACUGUCAUGAGUCUAUGAAUCCAGCCUGUCAUGCAGAAGUGAUCCUUAUAAUGUAAGCACUUACUGUCUUGCUGCAGCUGAUUCCCCAGUGACAUUUUAAAAAGUCAGUAUUUGGCUGCAGAGUGCUUUAAAUUUCUAAAUGGACUAUAGAUCGGAAGCCUUAGGGUAUUUCAUAGGAAGCACGUGGCCCUGCAGUGAACACACAGCAACUUCUGUAGCUGUAGCCAAGUUGGUGACCAGUAUUUACCCUUGAAGUUGUUUUGGUUCAGAACUUUAAGUGUUUUUUAGUCUACAUUUAAUUAUUUGGUACUAUACUAAUUUACUCCAAAUGUCUGAAACGAAAUGGAUACUUAAUGAAGUCUAUAAUGUUUGUCCAGGUCUUUUAUUCUACUAGGUAUGGUUCUAAUGUGAAAAGCGGCUUCUGGUGGUGACACAGUGCACAUUUCUCAGCGUCUGUAAAUUCAGGUCUUUGGUUUUCACUUAAUCUGAAAAUGAGAGUAGCAGUUAAACACUCAGGAACACUCAGAAAUACAUUAACAAGUUUUACAUUCUUCUCUAAAAGAACCCUAAGCCCCUGAAAACAAUCAUUUUAUAGCAAUAUUUUAACAGCUAUUUAUAUCUGUUACCUAAACUGAAAAUCCUAUUCCUGCCCCUCUGGCUGUCACAGAUACACCAUGAUGAGACUUAGUAAAGAGCAAUAGUCCCGAGAGAUUCCGGGACUGUGUCCUGCCUGGCUUACAGAACCACAGACCCAGCUUAUAGAACCACAAGAGGGUUGGUUAUUGCACGUCAUAAAAGACCAGGCUUUGUAUUCAGUGUGUCCUGGCCUCCAUGGGGGUGAAUUGGCAGUGAUCUUUAGGACACUGAUUGUUUUCUCUAUUCUUUGUGAUUCUUUUGAAUCUUCACAUGACUGUGAAGCAGUGAGUCUGAUGGGGUCAGAGCAGUUAGCCUGAUCCAGCAGGGUCUCAGACCAGAGGACUAUGCCUUGUGUGAGUGUAUUUGUGUUUCCAGUUUACUGGAGCAAAGCGGGAGGGUAGAAGAGAAAAUAGCAUGGUUCUCAUGUCAUGAGAGCUAGUGCCUUGAGGACUGUGCUAAAUUCAACUGUCUUUUUCAUUCCAUUAUAAUUUUAGGCUUAAAAAUGCAUCUAAACCUCUGAGCCAAAACGUGAGUUGAGAUCAUUAGCUACCUCCGAUUUUUAAAUUUCAAAAUCUUGUCUCCUGUCUUCACAUGACUCAUUAGCUCUCUUUUAUCAAUAUAGUAAGAAGUAUCUUCCUUUAAAUAAUAUUCCCAGAUUGUGAUUUAUUGUUUGUUAUGCUAAGAGAGAGAUUGAAGGAAUACAGGUAAGAUUCCUGUCUUAAGGAGCUUACAGAGUAUCUGGAAAAGACAAACGGAGCAUACAUUUAAAACUGGAAAUUAAAUAGAUACGAUUGCUGUGUGAGCAAUAAAGAUCAAAAGAGAUGCAGAAUAAUAGUCCCUUCUUUACUGAUAUAUACUACAUUUUAUAGUAUGGUUUUUGUUUCUUAAUGGAAGUCUUCUAAAUUUAUGCUAACUCUCUGAUUGACUAAUGAUGAUUUUUUUAGAAGUCUGUUGCUAUUACUGUAUUGAUUGGAUGUUACCAUGAGUAAUUUUCAGCCUCUCUUCAUGCCUGCUCACUUGGAGACUCAUGUAAGAUUCAGGAGGAUGAGUUUGGCCCAACUGGCCUGCAUUUUCUUAUAUGCAUUGAAGAAAUGUGUGUCAAGAAAUUUCAGCCGCAGAUUGAUUCGUAUGAGUUCAGGAACUCAUUCAGUAACAACUUUUCAGCAAGUGUUUCGCUAAAUAUGUUUAUUCAUGUUUUCUCUUUGUUUCACAGGUAAAAGAUGAACUAUUACACUCUGAGCUAUGUCUUUUUUUAUUGGGGCUAUAUCUUUUAUGAUCAUAAAAAUUGAAUGUAGCUGUGUCUUGGUUUUGCAUGACUGCACUAUUAAUGCAAAGGGUUCCCCCAUCCCCACUUCUCCUCCUGUGU